GAGCCGCACGCGUAAAUUCCUGUACUGAGCCGAGCCGCGCCUGCGCCAAGCCGAGCCGGUCCCUGUCCUUUUCCAGCCGAGCCGCCAAGACUAAUUUGGCUCCAUCCACCUAAAUUUUGGGACGUCUUGGACCAAGUAAUUGCUGCAGCGCGGGAUUUCUUCAGUAGGGGCUCGAGCACUGCAACCUCCUUCUAGGGUAAGUUAUUUCAAAUGAGUCUUGAACCGUUAGUCGUUGGCGACCUAAUUACGAAUUUUGGCAUAUUAAACAGUUAGGACCUCGUCGCUUGGAAAGCGUACUGCCUCGCGGUUAGGACUCGACAAGUAAAUCUCCAGGUAAGAGAUUCUACUACUAGCUUCAUGUUUAGAAGUAUGAGACUAUGUAUGCUCCAAUUUUUCAUGUUAAGAAUUAGACAGUACGAUGCCUGAAAUAAAUGUUAGUAUGAUGCAACUGACGAUAUGGUUAUACUAUGGCCUGUUAUGUGUGGCGAGAGCUGUUAUGGCUAUACGACGAAUGUCGAGACGGAGAGUGUAGAGACGAUUUAUGUGAUAUGUUAUAUGCUGAUGCCAUGUGUAUGUAUACUGCAAUUAGGGUACCUGUUAGCUUAAUCUGUUAGAGUCGUACCUGCAUGGGUGUCCUUCGGGAUCACCACCUAUUGAGGACUGUGUGGUCCGACGGGACACCAGUCUAGCAUGGAUAUAGAUAUGACUCGAGUGACUCGACGGGGUCCUCGCAUCCCGACUGUCCUAGGUGUCCCCCGGGGCACCGAAGACCAGAGUUACGUUCCUACGGGAGCGCAUGAUUGCACGUGUUCGGGAACGUGCCAGAGAUUGGGUACCAGUUAUCAGGACUCUAACAGGAAGUUAACAGGCACCUAGUGGGACUAGUAGUGGGUCCCUUACUGAGUAUUUUUAUACUCACUCUCUUCGUUUUAUGUUUUCAGGUAGAGGACGGGGCAAGGGCAAGGGCAAGCUGGCGAGCGACCCGAAGUGAGACCGUGGAGGGCCAUAGGGACUACCGCUUCCGCUUAUUCUUAUUUCAGAUUUUCGCAUUUGAAUUUGAGUACUUUUCAUCACUUACCAUCUUUUAUGUAGAGAGGGCCCGAGUAGGA